UACUCCUACGGGAGGCAGCAGGGGGGAAUUUUGGACAAUGGGCGAAAGCCUGAUCCAGCCAUGCCGCGUGCAGGAUGAAGGCCUUCGGGUUGUAAACUGCUUUUGUACGGAACGAAAAGCCUCUUUCUAAUAAAGAGGGGUCAUGACGGUACCGUAAGAAUAAGCACCGGCUAACUACGUGCCAGCAGCCGCGGUAA
rnacentral:rRNA from 1 species